AUUGAACGCUAGCGGGAUGCUUUACACAUGCAAGUCGAACGGCAGCGCGGACUUCGGUCUGGCGGCGAGUGGCGAACGGGUGAGUAAUGUAUCGGAACGUGCCCAGUAGCGGGGGAUAACUACGCGAAAGCGUAGCUAAUACCGCAUACGCCCUACGGGGGAAAGCCGGGGAUCGUAAGACCUUGCACUAUUGGAGCGGCCGAUAUCGGAUUAGCUAGUUGGUGAGGUAACGGCUCACCAAGGCGACGAUUCGUAGCUGGUUUGAGAGGACGACCAGCCACACUGGGACUGAGACACGGCCCAGACUCCUACGGGAGGCAGCAGUGGGGAAUGUUGGACAAUGGGGGCAACCCUGAUCCAGCCAUCCCGCGUGUGCGAUGAAGGCCUUCGGGUUGUAAAGCACUUUUGGCAGGAAAGAAACGUCGCGGGCUAAUACCCCGUGGAACUGACGGUACCUGCAGAAUAAGCACCGGCUAACUACGUG
rnacentral:rRNA from 1 species